rnacentral:rRNA from 1 species
UACGUAGGGUGCAAGCGUUAAUCGGAAUUACUGGGCGUAAAGCGUGCGCAGGCGGUUUUGUAAGUCUGGCGUGAAAUCCCCGAGCUCAACUUGGGAAUUGCAAUGGAUACUGGCAGGCUGGAGUAUGGUAGAGGAAGGUGGAAUUCCCGGUGUAGCAGUGAAAUGCGUAGAGAUCGGGAGGAACACCAGUGGCGAAGGCGGCCUUCUGGACCAAUACUGACGCUCAUGCACGAAAGCGUGGGGAGCAAACAGG